rfam:Triticum aestivum genome assembly, contig: Triticum_aestivum_CS42_TGACv1_scaffold_328361_4BS
UUGAUACUCCCUCCGUUCGAAAAUACUUGUCAUCGAAAUAGACAAAAAGGGAUGUAUCUAAAACUAAAAUACAUCUAGAUACAUCCCCUUUUAUUUAUUUUGAUGACAAGUAUUUCCGGACGGAGGGAGUACUAG